GGGCGUGUAGCUCAGAUGGUUAGAGCGCAGCACUGAUAAUGCUGAGGUCCCAAGUUCGAUUCUUGGCACGCCCACCA
rnacentral:tRNA from 2 species